rnacentral:lncRNA from 1 species
GUGGAAGGUCGUCGCCAGGGCCGGAACCAGACCUUUGAUACCAAUUGUCAGCGUCCUCCACCUGAUGGCGAACGCUGCUCGUUGCAGAGAGGAACGAGAGGGAGAAGACAACCAGGAAGGAGAGGUGAGUUCUGUAUUUUUAUUCCCAAAACUGUCUUUCUCAGUACAAGUGCUACUAUUUAUUACAACCAGCUAUUAAGCGCCGACCCACCCUUCAACGGAUCCACUCGGCACCGGACCAUUUGCUAUUGGGCUUCCUUGUUCGCCGGCCCAUCACUUCAUCAGUUCCUGCUCUCCUGUCGUCCCCCAACUCCAGGUCGCCUACAGGAAUACUGACAUUUCUGAUGGCGAACGCUGCUCGUUGCAGAGAGGAACGAGAGGGAGAAGACAACCAGGAAGGAGAGGUGAGUUCUGUAUUUUUAUUCCCAAAGCUGUCUUUCUCAGUACAAGUGCUACUAUUUAUUACAACCAGCUAUUAAGCGCCGGCCCACCCUUCAACGGAUCCACUCGGCACCGGACCAUUUGCUAUUGGGCUUCCUUGUUCGCCGGCCCAUCACUUCAUCAGUUCCUGCUCUCCUGUCGUCCCCCAACUCCAGGUCGCCUACAGGAAUACUGACAUCCUGGUCCAAGCUGCCGCCGCGAAGGAGCAGAGCCGGGCGAGCAGAAAUCCGGCGCCGAGCAUAGGAGGAACGACUGGGCUGGGCGAAACUUGGAGGACGGCCGAGCUAGGCGAGCUUCAGGGAGAAGAAGGAAGUCUGGGCGCUAGGGAAUCGAGUGCCCCAGCAUCUGCCCGAAACAGCCGAGCAAUCUGCCGCACGAGCACGCAUAGCGCGCAUAUAAAGCGAACAGGGGCGGCGGCAAAAAUAUCACGCAGUGAGGUACGGCGGCUAAGGAGAGGAUGAGAACAACUAAGACACAGGAAAAUCUUGCGCCGGCUGAACGGACGAAGGAGAGAAGAUGAGCAUGUCGACAGAUGGAGGAUAAGGCUCCUGGGCGAGCACCAAUACGGGAGAGGAGAGAUAUGGAUGCGUGCCUGGCUUUGACGAUAGGAAGCAGAGAGAGGGCGGUGAGGAUAGAGGAUAUUUUCUUUUUUUUUCUCUCUUUUUUUUAGAUUUUCUUUUCUCUCUUUCUUUUAUCAGUAAUCGAAGAUAUUUUGAUCAUGAUUUCUAGCAAUAACAAAAAGGUCGACCGUAUUGCGACACAGUUUGAUUUGAUUCGAAAUCUAAUAAAUUUACCUACGGUCUGAACACAUGAUUCCAUGGUCACGGUAAUUUACCAGAGAAUCAAAGCUCAAUUAUAAUUCUCGGAUCACUAAACGGAAAAUCAGAGAUUAACGAUUCUAACUAAAUUUCAUUUAGAUAGUUUUCGUGACUAUUUUGGGCAAGAUAUAAACGGACUGGAUAACGGAUGCAGUAUUUGAGACAAUACUGGUUUAGUCGAUCUCGGAUAAAAAUUUAUCCGAUGUCUAGGCACAGUUGAUUUUAUUAUUUUACCGAGUGUGCUGAAAAAUAAAUUAGAUCAUCGCCUCGCACACGAUUUUUUUCUCGGACAGUGCGCGAUUUAGAUUAUUUUGCUCCGAACAUUUCUGUCGUCGAGUUCAAAAUAAAUUUGUUCGGGAUAAAAAGGCGUAGAAUGAGGUCGAGCUUCUGAAUUCGGAUUCGCGCGACGAUGAAUUUUAAUUAAUCAUCGGACGCACCGACGACGUUCCGAACAUCACGAAAAUUUCGGAAGAGCCCGGAUAGACGAAAAAUAAAAAUGAUGUCGCACUCGCGACAGAUGAAACAGACGUGAUAUUAAAAUCGCGAUACACGAAGACGAUUAAAAUUUAACAUCUGUUUCAUUCACUGAUAUUACGUACUUAAAUCCACACUCAUUGUCGAGCGGAAUAUAAACACCUGGGGUGUUACAGUAAUUAUACUAGCGCGGGAGUUCGUUGGGGUUUCUUGCCAUUUUCCGGCCGAAACUUUUAUCCUUAGUGC